rnacentral:rRNA from 1 species
UACAGAGGUCUCAAGCGUUGUUCGGAUUCAUUGGGCGUAAAGGGCGCGUAGGCGGCGCGGUAAGUCACUUGUGAAAUCUCUGAGCUUAACUCAGAACGGCCAAGUGAUACUGCAGUGCUAGAGUGCAGAAGGGGCAAUCGGAAUUCUUGGUGUAGCGGUGAAAUGCGUAGAUAUCAAGAGGAACACCUGAGGUGAAGACGGGUUGCUGGGCUGACACUGACGCUGAGGCGCGAAAGCCAGGGGAGCAAACGGG